rnacentral:rRNA from 1 species
UACAGAGGGUGCAAACGUUGCUCGGAAUCAUUGGGCGUAAAGCGCACGUAGGCGGCCUAGCAAGUAGGGAGUGAAAGCCCUCGGCUUAACCGAGGAAGUGGCUUUCUAAACUACUAGGCUUGAAUACUGGAGAGGGUCGCGGAAUUCCCGGUGUAGAGGUGAAAUUCGUAGAUAUCGGGAGGAACACCAGUGGCGAAGGCGGCGAC